GUGCCAGCAGCCGCGGUAAUACAGGGGGGGCAAGCGUUGUUCGGAAUUACUGGGCGCAAAGGGUUUGUAGGUGGCUUGUUAAGUCAGACGUGAAAUCCCUCAGCUUAACUGGGGAACUGCGUCUGAUACUGAUGAGCUUGAGUGCAGGAGAGGAACGCGGAAUUCCAGGUGUAGCGGUGAAAUGCGUAGAUAUCUGGAGGAACACCGGUGGCGAAGGCGGCGUUCUGGACUGCAACUGACGCUGAAAAACGAAAGCCAGGGGAGCAAACGGGAUUAGAAACCCUAGUAGUCC
rnacentral:rRNA from 1 species